rnacentral:rRNA from 1 species
UACCCGUGCCACAAGUGGUGACCAUGAUUAUUGGGCCUAAAGCGUCCGUAGCCGGUCGGAUGGGUCUUCAGUGAAAUCCAGCGCUAGAUCGUUGGGCUUGCUGAGGAAACUAUUCGACUCGGGACCGGGAGAGGCCAGAGCUAUUCCUGGGGUAGCGGUAAAAUGCUGUAAUCCUUGGAGGAGCGCCUGUGGCGAAAGCGUCUGGCUGGAACGGCUCCGACGGUGAGGGACGAAAGCCUGGGGAGCGAAA